UAGUCUAUGAUGAUCCUAUCCCGAACCUGAAUUCCUGUUGAAAAACCAUAAUUACGGAUCUGGCUUCUGAGAUGGACCAUUGCAAAGGACUAUUGUGUUCUUCUUUAAUGUUGGCAAUGACGUAAUGCCUGUGUUUUUGUUUUUAUAUUUUAGGGCCAGUGACACAAGAACUUGCGAGAGAUGCCAGUCCGCCUGUGAAGAUCCUGCAGCAGGAGUGCAUAGCCAGUGACACAAGACGUGCGAAUGAAAACUAGAUGUGACCAUCCAGAAAAAGCAUAGACAAAAAAAUGCAGUCUUAGUACUGGGAUGUUUGAGAUGGGGUCUAUCUACAUGUCUCUAGCUGUCCCUAUCAGGACAGCAUCUGGUGUGGCCUGCAGAGUUGAUUCCUGUACUUUUUUUUUUUUGUGGGCUGUAUGUAAAUGGAUUGUUUUGACAAUCCAUUCGACAGUGUUCUCUUCUGUGAAGGUCAUAGGUGAGCUGAUUGACAGACACAGCUGUACAGACUGAAUGCAAUCCUGACUAUAAAGCUGCAGUUCAUCAUUAUGAGCUAUUUCCUUAUUCUGGCAGUGAUUGAAAUAAAAUGGGGAGUAUUGAAAUAAAAAACAUUCAAUUGC
rnacentral:lncRNA from 1 species